ACUCCUACGGGAGGCAGCAGUGGGGAAUAUUGCACAAUGGGCGCAAGCCUGAUGCAGCCAUGCCGCGUGUGUGAAGAAGGCCUUCGGGUUGUAAAGCACUUUCAGUUGUGAGGAAGGUGGUGUCGUUAAUAGCGGCAUCAUUUGACGUUAGCAACAGAAGAAGCACCGGCUAACUCCGUGCCAGCAGCCGCGGUAAUACGGAGGGUGCGAGCGUUAAUCGGAAUUACUGGGCGUAAAGCGCAUGCAGGUGGUUUGUUAAGUCAGAUGUGAAAGCCCGGGGCUCAACCUCGGAACUGCAUUUGAAACUGGCAGACUAGAGUACUGUAGAGGGGGGUAGAAUUUCAGGUGUAGCGGUGAAAUGCGUAGAGAUCUGAAGGAAUACCGGUGGCGAAGGCGGCCCCCUGGACAGAUACUGACACUCAGAUGCGAAAGCGUGGGGAGCAAACAGGAUUAGAUACCCUGGUAGCACAGCG
rnacentral:rRNA from 1 species